rnacentral:rRNA from 1 species
AAACCAACAGGGAUUGCCUUAGUAACGGCGAGUGAAGCGGCAAAAGCUCAAAUUUGAAAUCUAGCACUUUCAGUGUUCGAGUUGUAAUUUGAAGAAGGUAACUUUGGAAUUGGCUCUUGUCUAUGUUCCUUGGAACAGGACGUCACAGAGGGUGAGAAUCCCGUGCGAUGAGAUGUCCAAUUCUAUGUAAAGUGCUUUCGAAGAGUCGAGUUGUUUGGGAAUGCAGCUCUAAGUGGGUGGUAAAUUCCAUCUAAAGCUAAAUAUUGGCGAGAGACCGAUAGCGAACAAGUACAGUGAUGGAAAGAUGAAAAGAACUUUGAAAAGAGAGUGAAAAAGUACGUGAAAUUGUUGAAAGGGAAGGGCUUGAGAUCAGACUUGGUAUUUUGUGUUCCUUAUUCUUUUUGGAUUUGGUUCCUCACAGCUUACCGGGCCAGCAUCGGUUUGGAUGGUAGGAUAAUGACAUUGGAAUGUAGCUUUGCUUCGGUGAAGUGUUAUAGACUUUGUUGAUACUGCCUAUCUAGACCGAGGACUGCGUCUUUGACUAGGAUGCUGGCGUAAUGAUCUUAAGCCGC